CUUAAGCAUAUCAAUAAGCGGAGGAAAAGAAACCAACAGGGAUUGCCUCAGUAACGGCGAGUGAAGCGGCAACAGCUCAAAUUUGAAAUCUGGCCCUCUCAGGGUCCGAGUUGUAAUUUGGAGAAGAUGCUUCGGGUGUGGCCCCGGUCUAAGUUCCUUGGAACAGGACGUCACAGAGGGUGAGAAUCCCGUACGUGACCGGUGGCCGCCCCCGUGUGAAGCUCUUUCGACGAGUCGAGUUGUUUGGGAAUGCAGCUCAAAAUGGGUGGUAAAUUUCAUCUAAAGCUAAAUAUUGGCCAGAGACCGAUAGCGCACAAGUAGAGUGAUCGAAAGAUGAAAAGCACUUUGGAAAGAGAGUUAAACAGUACGUGAAAUUGUUGAAAGGGAAGCGCUUGCAACCAGACUUGCGCGCGGCCGAUCAUCCGGUGUUCGCACCGGUGCACUCGGUCGCGCUCAGGCCAGCAUCGGUUUGGGUGGCUGGAUAAAGGCCUCGGGAAUGUGGCUCCCCUCGGGGAGUGUUAUAGCCCGAGGUGCAAUGCAGCCUACCCGGACCGAGGACCGCGCUUCGGCUAGGAUGCUGGCGUAAUGGUUGUAAGCGACCCGUCUUGAAACACGGACCAAGGAGUCUAACAUCUAUGCGAGUGUUUGGGUGUCAAACCCAUACGCGUAAUGAAAGUGAACGGAGGUGAGAACCCUUAAGGGUGCAUCAUCGACCGAUCCUGAUGUCUUCGGAUGGAUUUGAGUAAGAGCAUAGCUGUUGGGACCCGAAAGAUGGUGAACUAUGCCUGAAUAGGGUGAAGCCAGAGGAAACUCUGGUGGAGGCUCGCAGCGGUUCUGACGUGCAAAUCGAUCGUCAAAUUUGGGCAUAGGGGCGAAAGACUAAUCGAACCAUCUAGUAGCUGGUUCCUGCCGAAG
rnacentral:rRNA from 1 species